GCAUCUUGGCAGUUGGGAGGGUUUCUGUGGGGGCAGGUGAGAACCCAGGAUAAAAAAAUGCUGGCCAGAGGAUGAACGGAGCUGAGCAGCUGAGAGGAAGAAGGAGAGAGUUGGAGAAGCCAAAGGAGCCUGGGACAAGACAACAUGUGAGGAAUGCAGAACAGAGGGGAAGGCAGAGAUGAUGCUGGACUCUAUUCACCCUGCCUUUUUGCAUUGUUCAGGGUCAGACUGAGCCGGCGGGACACCGGGAUAAAACCCGGUGGGCCAACAGCCCUCAUGGGCCCCGGCAGCCCAGACCCGCUCACUGCUGGCAGAGCCUACAGAGCCUCCUUGCCGAUCAUCUCCCCCUGCAGCAGGAAGAAAUGGCGCAUACUGAAGAAGAAAAGGGUGCACGGUAGGUAAGAAACUUGUACGAGCUGAGAUGAAUCCUCCUCCCAAACAACAUGCCUUCUUUGUUCCUCCCAAGGAUGGCAUAAGGUGCCAAACUUUACAUACUGUAGGUGAGACAGCACAGAAAAUUAGGGACAGGUUUUCCCAACAUAGAUCCACAGUAAACACUCACAAUUCUGUACUUUUCCUGGGUCAUACUUCAGAAGAUUUGAGGUUUAGGGUCAUUCAACAUAUUCCUCAGCCUCGGAGAGGAGGUAACCGGAUUAUGAUUUUAAAAAAAGCAGAAGUACAAUGGAUACAUAGAUUAAAGACAUUAAAUCCCAAGGGAUCAAACAAGGACUUUGACCUGCAUUUGUUUGUUGGCUAAUCCAACUGAUAUAUUAUUGUUCUAGUCCUGGUUUAAUUUAAAUUUACUGUUGUGUUAAACCAUACAGUAUAUUAUAAAUUGUUUGUCAUUUGUUGCAUGUCCUUAUGGGAUGUCUGUUUAGGGGUUUGUUUGAUGAGUCAAUAAGCAUUUGGAGGUGGAUAGUUUGCCAAUCAACAAAAUGGCUCCAGUCAAUACAGUAUGGAAAAUAUCCGAGCCACAUGCUUCUGUGACAGAGUAACGCCGGUGACAUUAGCUCCGCUAUAUGUAGAUGCACAGGACUUCACAACUGGUGCUCUGAUGUGGGCAGGCACUACCAAGGGGAAAAAAACAUCUGAAAACUGACAUUUAAAGAGACAGUAAACUAUUUUCUCUAAGAUGGAGGAACCGUUACAGCAACUUGCUCUGGCUACAGUCCAGCUUCAACAGAGCCUGGUCGUGCAGCAGCUAUCCGCCAUGGUGACUCAACAGCUCUCCACAGAUUGUUAGUUGAUUGCUUUGCGGGAGUCUGUUGCCAUACAAGCAACUGCCUUACAAGCUACAACUACCAAAGCCAAGUUGUUGGCCGAGGCAGUACAGUAGCUCAUUCCAGGACAGCAGUCUGGUACAUUGGCCCAGGUAACCAGGUAACCACCAGGACAAGUCAUUUUCUCCAAAAGUUGACUCCCACUGAUGUUGAGGCCUUUCAAGGACGAGGUUUCCCAUGGAGAUACUCACUGUCCAGGGUAUCCCAUUCAUGUCAAAGGUUAUGGCAGGGGUAUGCAAAUUGUUCCAGAUAAAGCAGUUACGUACCUCUGUCUACCAUCCUCAGACAGACGGCUUUGUUGAACAUUUUAAUAAGACCUUAAAAAUAAUGCUUAAGCAAGUGGUACAAAAAGAUGGUAAGGAUUGGGAUUGUUUAUUACCUGCUCUUUUAUUAGCUAUUUGGGAGGUGCCUCAGGCAUCCACAGGGUUCUCCCCCUUUGAGUUGGUGUACAGAUGCAAGCCCCAGGGACUGCUUGAUAUUGUAAAAGAGACUUGGGAGAGUUAAGCUACUCCCCACAAAUGAGGGAAAGGAUUUCAGAAGUGAUGCCUCUGGUUAAGGAGCACUUGCAAAGGUAUACCAUUUGUCCGCUAAGCUGAGGCAAUACCAGGUGGGAGAAUAGAGUGGCAGUGUUGAUCCCCACGGUAGAGAGCAAAUUCUUGGCCAGAUGGCAGGGCCCAUUUGGAAUUGUAGAAAAUGUGGGUGAGGUUAACAGGUGAGAAAUGCGAAAAGGCCAAAAUGUUAAGUCUCCCCAUAAUAAAGAGGAUUUGGAUUUUUAUUAAGUCCUGUGAGUGCAGAUCUCUUCAACAACGAGAGUAAGUAAAUGGCCACUCUUUGCAUGUUGUGCAUAUAGGUACUCAUUGUAUUUCAUCCAAAUGAGUAGUUGGCCCAUGCACUGCCCUUUACCCUGCAAGUGCAAGUGCCUCCCAUUUGCUUCUUCAGUAUUGACUAAAAUGUUUAUCAUUCAAAAUAAUCCCGAGAAUGAAUGUUGCACUGUGUGCAAAAAAGCAUAAAUACCAAAAUUUUUGCACUUUUCACAAAUAAUCACGUGGAGAUACAAGCCCUUUUAUCAUUAGCUAUAGGGCCCUAUAUAUCAUAUUGUGCAAAAUUAUUACUGCCAGAAAAAAGGCAUGGGUUUCAUUUUAAACCACCUGAACAACAGAUUUGACCUGUUAUUUUACACUACUUCAAUAGUAAACAUUCAAUUGCAAGUACUGUAAGUAUAAAAGAAAAGAAAAGCAGAAACAAUGAUGGAUGAAUUUUCCCAUAACAUUUUCAAACGGCUGCUUCUGUUACACCAAAUUAUACACAGAGAUACACAAUUGCUGAAUAUUAUUACAUAGCUUGAGUAGUACGCUGAUUUUUUGCAAAGUGAUGCUCAAGUGAUGUGUGGUGUACAUUGGGUUGUGUUUACUAACAUUGGAGAUAAUGCCCAUAGGAAACAAUCUGAUCUUUGCUUUUGUUUUCUAACUUGUAGGUGACUGUUCAAAUCUAAUUAUAGAAUUAAUUGCCUUCUUUUGACUCUGUCCAGCUUCCAAGUGCUGUGUACAUAUAAAUGUAUUGUUCUUGCUA